UUGUCACAAUCCGGGGUUUUGAGGUUCAUUUCCUGUUUUAUUUUGGUAGUAUUUCCGGUUUCUGUUUGGUUUUGCUUGCUUUACCUUCAGUCACGUGAUUCAUCCAGCUGUUUUCAAUCUAGUCAUUAGUCCUGUAUUUAAGCUCCAGCACUUACCGUAGUUCUCCUCCAGACCAAUUGAACAAAUGUGAAAAACAGCUUUUCCAAAUCAUCAGGGAAAGAGGGCGAUGAUGGCUGACGGCACCAGCAAAAGGACGACACUGGGACCAGUAGGCACCACCUCACGUAGAAUCUGUCCAUCAGCUCCCUCAUCAAACCAGCCCAGCAGAGGAUGUUCUUCCUGUGGUAACUGAGGAAGCUCAAGCUGCCAGACAAGAUGCGGGUUCAGUUCUACACAGCCCUUAUUGAAUCCAUCUGUGGCCACUGCCAGGGACGGACACAGAUACUGUCUCCAUCUUGUGUCUGGUGUUAGUGAGUAGAAAUGCUGCAGGCCGACUGAUUCUUACAUAGAUGAAAGAACAUCAGUGAAGGUUUGUGCUGCUGUGAAUGAAUACUGUACUUGUUGUUUAUAUUUGAAAAGUAGCAGAAAACAUUUGGUUAAAAUUAUACAUUUACAGUCACAUUUACUGAGGUCUUUGAAGGAGUGUGUGUCCUUUUUCCACAUGUCCCUACAGUCUAGGACUUCUACUGUCCGUGUGUAUCAUAUGUUACGAUGUACCGUAUUUUUCGACGUAUA